GCCGCGGUAGCUCAGCCCUGGUGGAGCGCCGGACUCAUACGGUUAAAAAAGAAAGGUCGUUCCUGAGAGAUCCGGAGGUCCGGGGUUCGAAUCCCCGCCGCGGCA
rnacentral:tRNA from 1 species